UUGGGCUCGCUCCAGCAGGAAGUGGGUAAGGGCGCAGUCAUAAUAGGGCUCAUAACGCAACACCUGAACCAACUGAAGCAAGUACUGUGACAGCUCUUCGUUACUUAAGAAGAACAAGAGGGAAGCGAGAGCUUCUUGAGAAUCAAGCACAUGAGUGACUCACCACGGGAACCCUUCUUUUUGGAGGUAGGGGCAGAGGUGGGUUGGAGGACUUGCGACUGACUACUGCCCCAAUGGCGGUGAUUUCCUUUUCAAACAUGGCCUUGACUGUACUGGAGGAAACCAGGGUAAGGUGUGGAGACUCCCUUGCCUGCAUACACGUGCGUAUAUACUACACACAGGAAAGGAUACACUACAUUGAAUAACCAAUGACAAUUGAAUAAACAUUUAUCUGAUACAUAUUGAAAAUGCCAUGCUUGGAUAUAAUAAGCAGUAAAGCUUUUUUAAUUAAUUUUAUUCUGACAGCAAUAUGAUUGUAUAGGCUCCAUAUUUUUGUAUCUGUAUCAGUACUAAACGUAUUUUAAUACUUUUUCCAAAUAAGACGAGGACACAAAAAAUGUCAUUAAUGACUAUUAUUUUUUCUUCAUAAAGUUGAUUAGUAAACACAAUGAAAUGACACAAAGACAAUCAUUUCAUAGCCACACAACUUUCAAAUGAAUAAAAAAACUAACAUUUUCUUAAUGCAUUCAUUAACAUUUUUAGAAACAGUGAAAGUACAAGUCUUUUCUUAUUGCACUCAUUUUUUUCCAAGUCAAAACACUGGCAUAAAGUCCUUUGUGACAUUUGUCUCCGUGCACCUGUGUCUGCCUCUCUAACAGUCUCAUCAAUCUAUUCUUGAUUCAACAUUAAAUCUUCAUCUUAACUUGCAAUCAAACACACUCACUGACCUUGUAUUCACAGAGCGCAUGGUCUCCACAGAGGAACUCCAUGCAAUGGCUGACUCUCAGGACAUACUGUCCUCUCCAUGCCUCCUCCUCAUGCCCAUGAGUGGUCAACCACUUCCUUACAGCCAGUUCUAUCAGCUCGACAGCGUUGCAGGAUGCAGGCACUUUCAAACAGGCAGAAUCCUUCAGGAAAAACAAUAAAAUAUAUGAUUGUGUUUAUCACUGCAACACUUGUAGUUCUAAAAUGUACAUAAAUCCUAAUGAAGAAAUCCUGGUCAGCAUGAAAUGCUUUACUAAAUGUUUUGUGUUUAUGUAAAAAUGUAACGACUAAAAACACAAGUCACACAUGUGCGUGUUGAAUCAACUCAGACGGAUGGGUCAAUAUGUUCUGAAUGAAACAGGGAGGCUUACUGUUGUAUUCUAAUUAUAGCUCAGUACUGACCCGAUUCCUGAGAUGGAAUUAAAAUUUCCUGGCGAUAUAAUCGAAUUGCAUCAAUAAAUUAACAGAAGCGUUUUGGAAAAGAUGCAGGGGCAUACCGCACAAAUCUUUAUGUUGAAACAACAUCAGCAUAAAUAUGAAAACAUCAAUAGAGAUCAGAGGCUACAUGGCUGACAAACUAAAUGAAAUCCCUAAAGGAAGACUCGCACCAAUGAACAAUGAUCAUGUUUGCUUUACAACAAUAACACACUUCCUGCCCAUAUUACAUCUUAUUGUGUCUGACCUUCCAAAUAAAACUUUCUGCCAAUUUUCACUUGA